AUGGGCACCGAAGGUGCACAAUCUCUCAACACUUUCGAGAUUAUGAGAAGCGAGAUCAGCGACUGCAUUGUGGAGGAUCUUGAACACUUCCGACAUUCCUGGAUUUAUGCAGCUACACCAAGAUUGGCGCCCGUGCUCUAGAGGCAUUUGGCAAGAACUGCAAAACCCUCGUCAGACUUUGGCAAGUACUGCACCCUAUAGAUGUCGCUGGGAAGGUGUGCCAGAAUGACGAGGCCCAUGCUACUGCUAGCAAAAUGACAAAGCUCUGCCACCUCAAGAUAGGAAACAUGAUCAUUAAGAAUAGAGUUGUUGUCAAGAUCGCCUCCGAGUGCCAUGACCUCAAGUUCUUAGAUGUGCGUUGUUGUUGGGACGUCCAUGAUAAGCUCUUGCAAGAGAAAUAUCUUGGGAUAAAAACACUCGGCCCCCAUGUGGAUGACUGCUAUCAGAAUCGCUUUAGGGAGGAUUGCACCGAUGACUCGGAUUAUGACUACAUCUACUCAUGCAAAAGUUCAUGGACGUCAUGAGUAUUCAUCAUCCGAGUCAUCAGUGCACUCCUCGCAGAUGUGGUUCUCAUAGCAGUCGCCCAUGCGGGGGCCGAUGCUUUUCAGCCAAGGACUAUUCUGUUGCAAGAGCGUAUCGUCAACGUCCCAGCAACCACACAGAUCUAAGAACUUGAGGUCAAGGCGCUGGAAGGCGAUCUUGACGACAACCAUAGUCUUAAUGAGCAUGUAUCCUAUCUCAAGGUGGCAGAGCUUUGGCAUGUUGCUUACAAUAGCAUGGGCCUCGUGAUUCUGGCACACCUUCCCAGCGACAUCUAUGGUGUGCAUGACUUGCCGAUGUCUGACGAGGGAUUUCUAUUUCUUGCCAAAUGCAUCCAGAGCACGGGCACCAAUCUUGGUGCAACUGCUUACAUCGAGGAAUGUAACCCUGGACGGUCUUUGUGCAACAUCUUCCACUAUGCAGUCGCUGAUCUCACUCCUUGGAAUCUCGAAAGUAUUGAGUGAUCGCGCACUUCCAAAAAUAAACAUGGUAGGGUCAGUAUGGUUUAACAAAUUAUAGUGGAUAGGGUCAUUGGUAAACAAAGUAUUAUAUAAAUGAUGCAUGACCCUUAUUCUAGUAGGGUCGAUAAUUUGAAUGUAACAAAAAUAUCUCCAAAUGGACUCUUGAUCAAUUAAAUGAUAUUAACCACAUCUAUGAACUAAGUUUCGAACACUAUCGCAAUGAGAAAAUAGUUUAGAGCCAAAAAGCACUGGAGCAUUAUAGAGUUUGGAAAUGGUUGGUAAUAUAAUUUUGAACAUGUUCUUCUGCAUUGAUGUGUAGCAUCUAGUACCUUCUUCGCAACAUUUCUCACUAUCUGAAAAUAGAUGUUUGUUUACUUGAAAACAUUCUCCUGUUAGUUUCUAAAGAAUUAAAUGAACAACUGAUUCACUUAUGGAGGAUGAAGUGAUGCGCACUAUUUUCACAUCUCAAAGUCGCAGGCCUGGAUGGUUUGCAUGCAAUUUUCUACAAGAAAUAUUGGCUUUUGAAGGGUCAAAAGAUUACACAAGAAGUCCCCAACGUGACAAGCUCGAGGCAAAUAACAAAGGGGGUACAAUGACACGAUAGUAGACUUAAUUCCGAAGAUGCUUGCUAAUAAUCUAAAGAUGAUUUUACCAGAGAUUAUUUGACCAACCCAAAUUCACUACCCAAAACUAACUUUUUGGUGAUGAUUAGGCACGUUUGUGAUGGCCCCGAAGUCUCCUUCAGGAAUGUGUGCCUGUUCGUGCCGUGGAUGUUCAGCCAAGGCGAAAGGUGGUAUGUUCGUGAGGUUCUUCAUAAUAACCUUCAGGAACGGAAUGGAACAUUUGCGUCGGUACUAUAUCCAGGUCACAAAUCACUUUACACAAAUUCAAGACAGUGUACAUGGCUAUCAGGAAGAUACCUACGAGGGACCCGAAGAUAUUUCGCUUCCGGGGCACGUGAUUUUUUCACUUCCGGGGCACGUGAUUUUUUCAUUUGGGAAGUGAGAAGCACACUGAUAUUUGCUUCCCGAGGUGUUUUUCGCAUAACGUGCGCUGUCAUCGGGAGGGUUGGGUCAAAAUACCUAAAACAUGAUCAAGUAGUGCCCCCAUUGUGCUACUAGUCCCACUCCCACGAUCGGUCUACCUCCACCGUCCAACACCGCCACUCCCCCCAUAUCGGCCUUCUAGUUUUGGUCUGCCGCCUCCCUCCAAAUCUAGAGGUGCCCACCUCACCAUCGAGUGCCCCCUGCCUCUGUCGUUCAUGGCCACCCUCCUUGCUGGAGACAUCCAGAUCCGCCUCCCUAGUCGGCGACUUCCAUAUCUGCCUCCCUCGCCGUGCAGAGGUGUGCAAUCUUACUUUGGAGAUUCCGAGGAGCGAGAUCAGUGACUGCAGACAAGAUCUUACACAAAGACUUCCCAAGGUUACAUUCGUGGACGUAUGCAGUUGCACCAAGAUUGGCGCCCAUGCUCUGUAGCCAUUUCCCAAGAACUGCAAAACCCUCAUCAUACUUCGGCGGGUCGUGCACCCAAUUGAUGUUGUUGGGAAGGUUUGCCAGAAUGAUGAGGUCUAUGCUUCUGCCAGCAAAAUGCCAAAGCUCCGACACCUCGAGAUAUGAAACAUGCUCAUUAAGACUAAGUUGUUGUCAAGAUCGCCUCCGAGUGCAAUAACCUCAAGUGCUUAGAUUGGCGUGGUUGUUGGGAUGUCGAUGAUAAGCUCUUGCAAGAUAAGUUUCCUACGCUUAAAACCCUUGGGCCCAUGUGGCGACUGCUAUCAGAACUGCUUCAGGGAGGAUUGCACUGGUGACUCGGAUGAUGAAUAGAUCUACUCAUGCAAAAUUUCAUGGACGUCAUGAGAACCGCAUCUACGAAGUUUGCACCAUCCAUGAACUGGUCCCAUGAAUAGAUGUAAUCAUCAUCCAAGUAAUCGGUGCACUCGUCGCAGAUGUGGUUCUCAUAGCAGUCGCGCUGAGGUUUUUCAGCCAAGGAUACUUCUCUUGCAAGAGCUUAUCCUCGACGUCCGGCAACAAUGUGGAAAUAAUAACUUGAGGUCAAGGCACUGGGAGGCGAUCUAGAUGACAACCUUAGUCUUAAUGAGCAUGUAUCCUAUCUAGAGGUGGCGGAGCUUUGGCAUGUUGCUUCCUAUAGAAUGGGCCUCGUCAUUCUGUCACACCUUUGCAAGGACAUCUAUGGGGUGCAUGACUCGCCAUGUCUGACGAGGGAUUUCUAUUUAUUGCCAAAUGCAUCAAGAGCACUGGCACCAAUCUAUGUGCAGCUGCUUACAUCCAGGAAUGUAACCUUGGACAGUAUUUGUGCAACAUCUUCCACUACGCAGUCGCUAAUCUCACUCCUCGAAAUCUCUAAAGUAUUGAGAGAUUGCGCACUUGCAAAAAUAAACAUGGUUGGGUCAGUAUGGUUUAACAAAAUAUUAUGGAUAGGGUCAUCGGUAAACAAAGUAUUAUAUAAAUGAUGCAUGACCCUUGUUAUUGUAGGGCCGAUAAUUGGAAUGUUACAAUGAUAUUUCUGAAUGGAUGCACCGUGCUCGAUUAAAUGAUAUUAACCAUGGCUAUAAACUGAGUUUCUAACACAAUCGCAGUGAGAAAAUAGUUUAGAGCCAAAAAGGACCGGAACAUUGUAGAAUUCCGAAAUGGUUGGUAAUAUAAUUUUUAACAUGUUCUUUCACGCUAACGUGUAGGAUCUAGUAUCAUGUCGCAACAUUUCUCACUAUCAGAAAACUGAUCUUUGAUUAUUUGAAAAGAUUCUCCUGUGAGUUUCUAAAUAAUUAAAUGAACAACUGAUUCACCUAUGGAGGAUGAAGUGAGGCGCACUAUUUUCACAUCUCAAAGCCGUAGGCCAUGACGGUUUGUAUGCAAUCUUCUACAAGAAAUAUUGGCAUUUCGUUCGUCCAAAGAUUACACAGGAAGUCUCCAGCGUGACAAACUAGAGGGAAAUAACAGAGGUGGUAUAAUGACACCGUAGUAGAUAUAAUUCAAAAGAUGCUUGCUAAAAACCUAAAGAUGAUUUUACUAGAGAUAAUUUUACCAACCCAAAUUCAGUACCCGAAACUAAGUUUUUGGUGAUGCUUUAGACACCUUCGUUAUCGCCCCGAAGCCUCUUCAAGAAUGUGUGCCUGUUCCUGAUGAGGAUGUUCAGCCGAGGCGAAAGGUGGUUACGGUCCUGACGUUCUCGAUAAUGACCUUCAAGGAUGAGAAUAACAUUCAGGAAUGGAGUGGAACGUUUGCGUCA